GUUUAACCGGAGAAGUGCAUCGGAAACUGGGAGACUUGAGUGCAGAAGAGGACAGUGGAACUCCAUGUGUAGCGGUGGAAUGCGUAGAUAUAUGGAAGAACACCAGUGGCGAAGGCGGCUGUCUAGUCUGUAACUGACGCUGAGGCUCGAAAGCAUGGGUAGCGAACAGGAUUAGAUACCCUGGUAGUCUAUGCCGUAAACGAUGAGUGCUAAGUGUUGGAGGGUUUCCGCCCUUCAGUGCUGCAGCUAACGCAUUAAGCACUCCGCCUGGGGAGUACGACCGCAAGGUUGAAACUCAAAGGAAUUGACGGGGGCCCGCACAAGCGGUGGAGCAUGUGGUUUAAUUCGAAGCUACGCGAAGAACCUUACCAGGUCUUGACAUCUUCUGCCAAUCUUAGAGAUAAGACGUUCCCUUCGGGGACAGAAUGACAGGUGGUGCAUGGUUGUCGUCAGCUCGUGUCGUGAGAUGUUGGGUUAAGUCCCGCAACGAGCGCAACCCUUAUUAUCAGUUGCCAGCAUUCAGUUGGGCACUCUGGUGAGACUGCCGGUGACAAACCGGAGGAAGGUGGGGAUGACGUCAAAUCAUCAUGCCCCUUAUGACCUGGGCUACACACGUGCUACAAUGGACGAUACAACG
rnacentral:rRNA from 1 species